rnacentral:lncRNA from 1 species
UCACAAGAAGGAAAAAGGACAGAAGUUGUAUCAUGUCAAUUAACAACAUCAUCAUCCUCAUAACAUCACAUAUACCAUAUAUUUUAAGUUCAAAAAUACAUGAAUAAAAUAAGUUGUAGCAAAAACAUGCACCACAUUCACCAUAUCAUCACUCACAACGCAUGUGUCAUCAUCAUAUACAUUCAUCACAUCCAAUUCAUCAACAUACAUCAUA